CCUACGGGAGGCAGCAGUGGGGGAUAUUGCACAAUGGGGGAAACCCUGAUGCAGCGACGCCGCGUGGGUGAAGAAGUAUUUCGGUAUGUAAAGCCCUAUCAGCAGGGAAGAAAGAAGACGGUACCUGACUAAGAAGCCCCGGCUAACUAGGGGCCAGCAUCCGCGGCAAUCCGUAGGGGGCGAGCGUUGUUCGGAAUCACUGGGUGUACAGGGAGCGUAGACGGCCGGACAAGACAGGAGUGAAAGCCCCGGGCCCAACCCCGGAACUGCCUUUGGAACUGGACAGCUAGAGUGCGGGAGAGGAAGGCGGAAUUCCAGGUGUAGCAGUGAAAUGCGUAGAUAUCAGGAGGAACACCGGUGGCGAAGGCGGCCAGCUGGACCGCGACUGACGUUGAGGCUCGAAAGCGUGGGGAGCGAACAGGAUUAGAUACCCUUGUAGUC
rnacentral:rRNA from 1 species